rnacentral:rRNA from 1 species
UACGAAGGGGCUAGCGUUGCUCGGAAUCACUGGGCGUAAAGGGUGCGUAGGCGGGUCUUAAGUCAGGGUGAAAUCCUGGAGCUCAACUCCAGAACUGCCCUUGAUACUGGCGGUCUCGAGUCCGGGAGAGGUGAGUGGAACUGCGAGUGUAGAGGUGAAAUUCGUAGAUAUUCGCAAGAACACCAGUGGCGAAGGCGGCUCACUGGACCGGAACUGACGCUGAGGCGCGAAAGCGUGGGAG